UCUCCCGUAUAUCUAGGUAAUAAACAGAGACAAACAAAAUGGCUCCUCAGUUGAAAGGACUGCUCUACCGUUCCAUAAAGCGAGAUUUAGCCCUGGGGUUCUUGAUCUCGUUCUCCGCAGGUUCAGUCUGGUUGUUUGGAGUCUUUUUCCCUCGGAGGAAGAGAUACGAGGACUUCUAUAAAAACUAUGACGCCAAAGCAGUGGCCGAGUCUAUGAAAGCUUCUUGGGAAGAGUGAAGGAUCUACAUAGUCUCUCACCGUCUCAAACUGAACUAGUUGCAAACUUUCAAUGUACUUAUAGCUUAAUGACAUUAUCUAGUAGACUAGAGUAUUUUAUUAUUAAUAAUUUAUCAUAAUAAUAAUAAUGAUUGUAAAAAUUAUUUAUCAGCUGAGAGCUGAUUGGUGAGUUGCACUGUA